GUGCAGCUGUCUCUUGUGCUUGAUCUAACCAUGUGGCCCCGCCAGUUGUGACUUCACAUGGUUCCGUCAAGCGCCAGGGACCGCGCGGCAC
ensembl:miRNA mir218a-2 microRNA mir-218a-2